AUUUGUUUGAUGGAGUCUUCCAUCGUGUUUAUGUGAGCAUGUACCGUCACUACUUCUGCCUCCGUUGUGUUCACCUUUUCCGUGACCGUGCGCAGUUCGGUCCUCAAGAGGGCUGAGUCAGCUGCUAGGAGCUUAUGGAUGUCUGCUAGAAGGAGCUUUAAGUCACGUUUGGUGGUUGGUGCAGAGUCAUCCGGGGACUCCAGCAGUGGCUGUAGUGGUGCUUGUAAGUGCCCUUGUACGUCAGGUCUGGUUUGUAGUGGGUUGUGUACCCUUUCAGGCUGUAUUGCCCAUGGGGGUCCCUGGGAGUCCGGGCCUUGUGGUGCCCGGGUGUGCGGCUGCUGAUUUUGGUGCUGCCCAGUAAGUUCUGGCCCCUGUAAUCCUGUUUUGGGGGUCUGUGGGGGCCCCGGUGGUUCUUGCCGUUGUUGGGGUGUGGUAGGUGCCAGGGUAGCCUCCAGCGUUUCUGCCGCUGGUUUGGGUUUGGGCUGGGUAGGCUUUUGGAGCAUAGUCCCAAUAUCCCUGCCCCCAGCCGUACCUUGUGGCCUUUGUGAUCGGCGUCCCAUUGCCGGCAUAUGAGUCAGAGCUGUGGAUGGGUCCGGGGCGCAGGAGGUGUCUGUGUGCUCGGCUGGGUAUCCACUCAACAGGUCCUCGAGGCCCAGGCUCGUUGGGGUAUAGUAGGCCCCGAUUUUGCGUCUCCGUUUCUCUUGCCGCUGCGGUUGGAAAAAAGGCAUCGGGAGAUGCGGCCCGUUGUGCUGAUGCCGAUAGUGCGUGUGGCGAGGUUGGAUGGGUCAGAGAAAGACUGAUUUUAAUGGAUUUU